CGCUCGCCGCUCAUCCCCCGCAGCCGGAGGCUUGCGGAGGAGGAGAAAGAGACACUGAAACCUUGAGAGUUUUGACGUCCUCGCACGGCGCUUUCUUUCCAUGUGGCCUGCCGUCUCUUCGCUUCUUCAUCGAUGAAGAAGAUUUUUGGGAGUUGCUUUUGGGCUACCAUGAAGCUGUUAUACCAUGUGACAUGUUUGAUUUUAUGCACAAUGCCGUGGCACUAGCUUCAACUGGUUGAAUCCGUGGAGGGAUCUGCUACCAUCUGUUGUUGCUUUCAGCUGCUAGAAACGUCUUGCUAAAAGGGAAGUCUACCAAGGGUGGGCGUAAGGUCAUCGCUCGCAGGUUGGCAAAGGGCAGAGCAAGGAUUGCGGUCUAGGAUGUUGCUGUAACAAGUCAGAUGGAUGCGGGUGGUACAGGAUCAUGCCAUGGCGACUCCAUAUCUCCAUGAUCCGAGAUGUUGAGAUCAGAUGCUCAGUAUUACUGCAAAGUUUUAGUGUUAAAAAUUGGAAAUUUCUUGCUGCAACUAUUAUUUGUAAACUUGUCAUUGGGUGUUCUUCAUCUAUUUUCCAAUAUUUCUUUUGGUUCAAUUUACAUUGACAUGGAGAAUUUCAUAUGGAUGUUGUUAUGAAUAAUUUUGUUUUACACAAAGAUAGCUUUAUGAAGAGAAAUGGAUGAAGAGGCAUGCCUUGUAGUGUUUAUUAACCAUCUCUCCUCAUCUUGAAGUGUAUACAGGUUCAAAUAUUUGACCCAGGUAAUUCUCCUGGUGGGGAUUAUGACGUGCAUCCAAGGGAUUCUCCAUUGUGUUGAUGCGGGUGCUCCAAAUCAGAGUCCGACAGUACUAUCUCCUCUGAGGUUUGGCCAACUUCUACAGAUCUCACCAAUGUGCAUCAUGCUUCUUGGAUUGAGGGAGACAAAGAAGCAAAGGUGUCAUUGUACCAAGUAGGACUAUGUCCUGUAGCUCAAUAGCAGGCCCCCAAAUAAGGUUUGCUGACUCUCUCCUCUGAAAGCUGCACUUUGUUGGAUGUACUGCAUUAUUUGAGUUGUGCGCCUCACAAGCCAGGACAUGGAUCCUUGCCAUCGAACAGAUAAGAAAUCUGCGGCCUGCAAAAGCCAUCAAGAUGCUAAUGGCUACCUGCCUUUGAUGCAUAUUGGCAUUCUGCUGCAGAAUAAGGCAAGUAAGGUGGAUCCAACAAAGCUGGGAGUUCAAAACAUCAUACAUCAGUAUAAUACACAGUGAAAUUCCUAGUAUUGUCUUCACUGGCUGUUCAUGGAUCACAAGCAGCUCACCCUGUGGUCUGGAUGGAGACAAGCUCUUCUUCAACAAUUUCCAUCUCCCACCUGCACACGCAGAGAGGAUAAGAGAGGAUCAGUGACACAACACACGCCAAGGUAAAAUGAUUGAUAGCAGGGCUGGGCUGUGCUGUGCCAAAGAAACUUUUCCCUGCCCACUUGCCUGCUAAAUGGCAAAUCUGUGUCUGCGCCUAAUACAAUGCAGAAACAAAGAAAGAAACAAAAGCUUGAAAUGCCUCUUCUGCCUUCAGAUCUACCUCCAUCCUCCGCAUUCCUAUGGCUCUCUGAAACUUGCAGCAGUACAUGACAAUGAAUUAUAGGGUGGCAUCUUGGAAUCUAAUAUGUUGUACUUCACCCUUAUAUCUGCCGUUCAUUCUCACUGUUUUUGUUUCCAUAUGAAGGUUUAACCCAUUGUUAUGUUGUUAUCUGUUCCUUUUCUUAUCA